rnacentral:rRNA from 1 species
UACGGAGGGUGCAAACGUUGUUCGGAAUCACUGGGCAUAAAGAGCAUGUAGGCUGUCUUGUCAGUUGGAUGUGAAAUCCCUCGGCUCAACCGGGGAACUGCAUCCAAUACUGCAAGGCUUGAGGAUGGUUGGGGUGAGUGGAACUCCUGGUGGAGCGGUGAAAUGCGUAGAUAUCAGGAGGAACACCGGUGGCGAAGGCGACUCACUGGACCAUAACUGACGCUGAGAUGCGAAAGCUAGGGGAGCGAACGGG